rnacentral:rRNA from 1 species
UGGGGAAUAUUGCACAAUGGGCGAAAGCCUGAUGCAGCGACGCCGCGUGAGGGAUGAAGGCCUUCGGGUUGUAAACCUCUUUCAGCCGGGAAGAAGCGCAAGUGACGGUACCUGCAGAAGAAGCGCCGGCUAACUACGUGCCAGCAGCCGCGGUAAUACGUAGGGCGCAAGCGUUGUCCGGAAUUAUUGGGCGUAAAGAGCUCGUAGGCGGGUUGUCGCGUCUGGUGUGAGAACUCGAGGCUCAACCUCGAGCUUGCAUCGGGUACGGGCAGACUAGAGUGCGGUAGGGGAGACUGGAAUUCCUGGUGUAGCGGUGGAAUGCGCAGAUAUCAGGAGGAACACCGAUGGCGAAGGCAGGUCUCUGGGCCGCAACUGACGCUGAGGAGCGAAAGCAUGGGGGGCGAACA